GACGAACGCUGGCGGCGUGCUUAACACAUGCAAGUCGAACGGAAAGGCCCUGCUUUUGUGGGGUGCUCGAGUGGCGAACGGGUGAGUAACACGUGAGUAACCUGCCCUUGACUUUGGGAUAACUUCAGGAAACUGGGGCUAAUACCGGAUAGGAGCUCCUGCUGCAUGGUGGGGGUUGGAAAGUUUCGGCGGUUGGGGAUGGACUCGCGGCUUAUCAGCUUGUUGGUGGGGUAGUGGCUUACCAAGGCUUUGACGGGUAGCCGGCCUGAGCGGGUGACCGGCCACAUUGGGACUGAGAUACGGCCCAGACUCCUACGGGAGGCAGCAGUGGGGAAUAUUGCACAAUGGGCGGAAGCCUGAUGCAGCAACGCCGCGUGCGGGAUGACGGGCUUCGGGUUGUAAACCGCUUUCGCCUGUGACGAAGCGUGAGUGACGGUAAUGGGUAAAGAAGCACCGGCUAACUACGUG
rnacentral:rRNA from 1 species